CCCGUUAGUGACAUCCAACAUCUUUAUUACAACAGGAAAGGAUUUCAUAGUUUGAACGUUAUGCUCGUCUGUGAUCACCAGCAAAUGAUUCGUUACGUUGAUUCUAACAGCCCAGGUGCCAAUCACGAUUCAUUCAUUUGGAAUAAUAAUCAAUUAGACGCUACAUUGAAUCAACGGUAUCAAAAUGGGGAGACCAAUACAUGGCUUUUAGGUGAUGCUGGUUACCCUUUAAAGCCAUAUCUGAUUACACCAUUCCGCACGUCUACAAAUCUUUC